GUAGGUGUAGCUCAGUAGUAGAGCGUUUGUCUGGUACAUGCAAGGUCCUGGGUUUGAUUCCCAGCAAACACC
rfam:Cricetulus griseus cell line CHO-K1, whole genome shotgun sequence.